GAUGAAGAACGCAGCGAAAUGCGACAAGUAAUGUGAAUUGCAGAAUUCCGUGAAUCAUCGAAUCUUUGAACGCACAUUGCGCCCCUUGGUAUUCCAUGGGGCAUGCCUGUUCGAGCGUCAUUUGUACCUUCAAGCUUUGCUUGGUGUUGGGUGUUUGUCUCGCCUUUGCGUGUAGACUCGCCUUAAAAUAAUUGGCAGCCGGCGUAUUGAUUUCGGAGCGCAGUACAUCUCGCGCUUUGCACUCAUAACGACAGCGUCCAAAAGUACAUUUUACACUCUUGACCUCGGAUCAGGUAGGGAUACCCGCUGAACUUAAGCAUAUAAUAAGCGGAGGA
rnacentral:misc_RNA from 1 species